rnacentral:rRNA from 1 species
UUCGGACUUAGUGGCGCACGGGUGAGUAACACGUGGGAAUAUACCCCUUGGUGGGGAAUAACAUCGGGAAACUGAUGCUAAUACCGCAUACGCCCUUCGGGGGAAAGAUUUAUCGCCGAGAGAUUAGCCCGCGUCCGAUUAGCUAGUUGGUGAGGUAAUGGCUCACCAAGGCGACGAUCGGUAGCUGGUCUGAGAGGAUGAUCAGCCACACUGGGACUGAGACACGGCCCAGACUCCUACGGGAGGCAGCAGUGGGGAAUAUUGGACAAUGGGGGAAACCCUGAUCCAGCCAUGCCGCGUGAGUGAUGAAGGCCUUAGGGUUGUAAAGCUCUUUCACCCACGACGAUGAUGACGGUAGUGGGAGAAGAAGCCCCGGCUAACUUCGUGCCAGCAGCCGCGGUAAUACGAAGGGGGCUAGCGUUGUUCGGAAUUACUGGGCGUAAAGCGCACGCAGGCGGUGGUCAUAG